AAUAUUGCACAAUGGAGGAAACUCUGAUGCAGCGACGCCGCGUGAACGAUGAAGGCCUUCGGGUCGUAAAGUUCUGUCCUAGGGGACGAUAAUGACGGUACCCUUGGAGGAAGUCCCUGCUAACUACGUGCCAGCAGCCGCCGUCAUACGUAGGGGGCGAGCGUUGUCCGGAAUUAGUGGGCGUAAAGGGUUCGUAGGCGAUUCUUUAAGUCAGGUGUGAAAGGUCACGGAUCAACCGUGGUAAGCACUUGAAACUGAAGGACUUGAGUUAAAGAGAGGAAAGUGGAAUUCCUAGUGUAGCGGUGAAAUGCGUAGAUAUUAGGAGGAAUACCAGUGGCGAAGGCGACUUUCUGGACUUAUACUGACGCUGAGGAACGAAAGCGUGGGGAGCAAAC
rnacentral:rRNA from 1 species